rnacentral:rRNA from 1 species
AGAGUUUGAUCCUGGCUCAGAUUGAACGCUGGCGGUAUGCUUAACACAUGCAAGUCGAACGGUAACAGCAGAGCUUGCUCUGGCUGACGAGUGGCGGACGGGUGCGUAACGCGUGGGAAUCUACCUUAUAGUGGGGGAUAGCCCGGAGAAAUCCGGAUUAAUACCGCAUAAGCCCUACGGGGGAAAAGGGGCCUCUCCUUGGAAGCUCUUGCUAUUAGAUGAGCCCGCGUAAGAUUAGCUUGUUGGUGGGGUAAUGGCCUACCAAGGCGACGAUCUUUAGCUGGUCUGAGAGGAUGAUCAGCCACACUGGGACUGAGACACGGCCCAGACUCCUACGGGAGGCAGCAGUGGGGAAUAUUGGACAAUGGGCGCAAGCCUGAUCCAGCAAUACCGCGUGUGUGAAGAAGGCCUGAGGGUUGUAAAGCACUUUCAAUUGUGAAGAAAAGCCUUAAAUUAAUACUUUAGGGUCUUGACGUUAACUUUAGAAGAAGCACCGGCUAACUCCGUGCCAGCAGCCGCGGUAAUACGGAGGGUGCAAGCGUUAAUUGGAAUUACUGGGCGUAAAGCGCACGUAGGCGGUUAGGUAAGUCAGAUGUGAAAGCCCCGGGCUCAACCUGGGAACUGCAUUUGAUACUGCUUAACUAGAGUAUAGUAGAGGCAAGUGGAAUUCCAGGUGUAGCGGUGAAAUGCGUAGAUAUCUGGAGGAACAUCAGUGGCGAAGGCGACUUGCUGGACUAAUACUGACGCUGAGGUGCGAAAGCGUGGGGAGCUAACAGGAUUAGAUACCCUGGUAGUCCACGCCGUAAACGAUGUCAACUAGCCGUUGGGAGCAUUUAAGCUUUUAGUGGCGCAGCUAACGCAUUAAGUUGACCGCCUGGGGAGUACGCGCGCAAGCGUAAAACUCAAAGGAAUUGACGGGGGCCCGCACAAGCGGUGGAGCAUGUGGUUUAAUUCGAUGCAACGCGAAGAACCUUACCAGCCCUUGACAUCCUGCGAACUUUCUAGAGAUAGAUUGGUGCCUUCGGGAACGCAGUGACAGGUGCUGCAUGGCUGUCGUCAGCUCGUUUCGUGAGAUGUUGGGUUAAGUCCCGCAACGAGCGCAACCCUUGUCCUUAGUUGCCAGCACGUAAUGGUGGGAACUCUAAGGAGACUGCCGGUGACAAACCGGAGGAAGGUGGGGAUGACGUCAAGUCAUCAUGCCCCUUAUGGGCUGGGCUACACACGUGCUACAAUGGCAAGUACAGAGGGCUGCAAUCCCGCGAGGGGGAGCCAAUCCCACAAAGCUUGUCUUAGUCCGGAUUGGAGUCUGCAACUCGACUCCAUGAAGUCGGAAUCGCUAAUCGUAGAUCAGCACUGCUACGGUGAAUACGUUCCCGGGCCUUGUACACACCGCCCGUCACACCAUGGGAGUGGGUUGCAAAAGAAGUGGGUAGCUUAACAAUGGGCGCUCACCACUCUGUGAUUCAUGACUGGGGUGAAGUCGUAACAAGGUA